rnacentral:lncRNA from 1 species
UCUGCGAACAGAUAAAAAAUUUCUAUUAUCCAUUUGAUCUAUACCAAGCACAAUGUAUCUUGGUUAUGAUAAAAACUCUCCAUAGAAAUUUGACUAAUUUUCUCUGCAUUGAAAAAUAAACACUUUGAAAAGAUUACAUUUCUAGGCAAAAGAUAUUUAUGAAUGAGUCAUAAGCAUCAUACCUGAACCAACUCAUAAUAAGUUAACCAACUUUAAUAUAAGAACAGUACACAAACAAAUAGUGAGUUGACAUGACAUGUAAAACCACAUAACACUCUCCCUUAAGUGUGGUCCAUAUAUAGAACACUUGAGAACAAUAUGCCUAUCAUAUUGACUCCCAGAAUGAAAGCAACAAACAACUCAGGCAUAUUAAAUUUUCAAUCUAAAGCUAACUUGUAAUAGGUGUUGAAGCUCAACUUCCAUACAAGGCACCAUAAACACCAAAUAUAACUGAUGUUGAAUAUCCACUACUUAACAUACGUAAAUGACCCAUCCUCCUAAAUUAGUUACAGACCACAAAUACGUGAUAUUGGAUAUCUGCAAAUUAAACUAUAGUCACAAGAGUUUUGAACUUCACCAAUUACUUAACAACCCCCUACCUGCAGCAACACAUGCAAAUAACUUCUUUCACAAUAUAAUCAUUUUUAAACCAGAUAAACAUAACAGACAAGGAGAACGGGGGACACAUGAACAUAAGGUAUUAUUAGCAUCUAUGUUACGCGGACUUCAACGUAAGUGCUAGAGACGAGCAUGGUUUCCAUGUUUUUUUCAUCUAUUUGCAGGAUUCUUGAAGACCAUAUCCCCAUAUUUAUGUGUUGAAGAGUGUCAGUAAGGCUAGCAUCAAAAGCAAAUCGAAAGACAAGCAUUUAAUACUUUUGUCUAACUGUUACUUUUGCUGCUUACUCUUCGGCAUUACUUUUUCUUUCAAAAAGCAAAUCGAGCAUUUAGAAGUGUAAGUUGCAAAAUUUUUGAAAAAUUAAAAUUUUUCCUAGAGUAAAAUGCAAGAGUUUAGGUUUAAAUAAAAAAAUAAUCAUUGACUUAAACUUUGCAUCAAAGUAAAGUAAGUAUUUUUAAUCAAGUUAAAACAUUUGCAUUCUACUUCUUUUGCUUUAUGACGAAUUUUCUUUUUAUAAUUACCAAUGAAAGCAAGUCAUUGAUACUGGGCCUAAUGUUACUUACAGCAAAACUUCUUCCCAAUGGAGUAUCCAAGAAAUCAUUCAGCUGCUUCCUGUACUGCAACCAUAUCAAUAGAACCCCAGAAAUAUGUAAGCAUAUAAGUUCCAAAUAAAAAACAAAUACGAAAAAAAUAAGAACACCAACCCUAGGCCAA